CAGAACGAACGCUGGCGGCAGGCUUAACACAUGCAAGUUGAGCGGGAUUGGUAGUAGCUCGCUAUUAACCAUGAGAGCAGCGCACUGGUGAGUAACACGUGGGAACAUACCUUUUGGUGGGGGACAACAGUUGGAAACGACUGCUAAUACCGCAUAAGCCCUGAGGGGGAAAGAUUUAUUGCCGAAAGAUUGGCCCGCGGAAGAUUAGGUAGUAGGUGGGGUAAUGGCCUACCUAGCCAACGAUCUAUAGCUGGUCUGAGAGGACGAUCAGCCACAUUGGAACUGAGACACGGUCCAGACUCCUACGGGAGGCAGCAGUGAGGAAUAUUGGGCAAUGGAGGGAACUCUGACCCAGCCAUGCCGCGUGAGUGAAGAAGGUUUUCGGAUUGUAAAGCUCUUUCGGACGGGAAGAUGAUGACGGUACCGUCUAAAGAAGCACCGGCUAACUUCGUGCCAGCCGCCGC
rnacentral:rRNA from 1 species